rnacentral:lncRNA from 10 species
UCAGAGAUCCCGUGAAGAGAGUGAAAAGUCAAGCCACAAACUGGGAGAAGACAUUUGCAUUAUGUCUUGUCUCAAAGGACUCAUAUUCGGAAUAUAUAAAGAACCCUCACAAAUCAAUAAGCCAGGGUUCUAAAGGUCCAGUUUGGCUUAGCUGAUCCUCCAUUCAAGACUUGGAUAAAUGACUCUGCUUCAGGCUGUUGGAUUGGUUGGGUUCUGUCGGUGCCAAAUCCAAGGUUGGGUUUACUCUGCUCCACAUUUGAUAAUUCUCAGGAUAAGGAGAUGGGAUCUUCCUGUGUUGCCUAGGGUUGUCUCAAACUCCUGGCCUCAAGUGAUCUUCCUGCCUUGGCCUCCCAAAGUGCUGGGAUUACAGGUAUGAGCCACCGGAACCAGCCUUUGGUUUACUUUUAGAAUGCGAUGAUUUUUCAGGCUGAAGUUGGGUUUGCAACAAGGAUACAUUUCCCAAGUGUUUUGGGUGCUGAAAUGGUUUUUUGCUGUUGAUUAUAAUAUCUCUCCAGGCUGAGGGUGUUUCUUAUUGUAGUCAAUGUUUCCUGUUGAAACAGCACAGAAUGACAUGUCACCUUUCCCAAGAAGCCUCAUUGAAUGUUAUUUUGGGUUACAGAGCCAGAGUAAGAAAAGAUAGAGGGUGAGACAGCUG